UUUGUGACACAGCUGUAGUUGUUCUGUCAUCUUUGAGGGAGAAGGACGGGAGACAAGAGAGGUCUGUGGGAGCAAAGCUGCGGAAAUCCUGCCAGAAAAUGCUGCUGAGCUCCAGAUACAGCAGGAGAGAUGGAGCAGAGACAACCGGCAGCCCCACUUACAGCUCCUUCUGAGAAAUCUGCUCUUCCUAUCAGCCUGGAGGUGUCUGUGGGGAGACAGGGAAAUGAGGUGGGGACAGUCUAGAGAGGGCAAGCAAGAAACCCAGGACGGUGCAGCGGGGUGAAGAUCUGAAAUGCCAUGGGCUAGCAGGAGCUGGAUUUGUCUCUGCUCUUAGUGGACCAGGAAGGUGGAAAACACCGAGAGAUGCCUUCUCUGUUUCUCUGAGGACGACAGGAUGACAGGACAACGGUCUCUCUCUCUUAGGACCUGGUGCAGCGGCCUACGUUCUGGGAUGACCCUUUGCUUCUCAAGUCCCACCUGGGCCAGAAGAUGAGAGGAUGGCCUCACGGGUCUUCCAGACCAUUCGUUCCAUGUUCCAAUUUCUAAUUUAAGUUCAUGCUGAGUACUAGUGCAGAACAGUGAGCUGAGGUGGAGCUAGAGGGAAGGAAACGUGACUGUGAACGUUUCAGAUGAGUUACUCUGUGCUCUGCUUCAGUGUCAGGUUAUUUAUUCAUGUUUUCCCGUUGCCUUCGAGGACCUAACUACCUAACACUUAACAUUCAAGUAUGUAGCAGUCACAUUUCCAGAAGGCUUUUCACUUCAUAAUCUGCUUUCACAUGGAGCUUUCCUUUGAUCCACAGAAAACUCCGGCAAAGAUGUUGGGUGGGCUUGCAGUGUCCUCACUGUCUACCUGGGGACUCCCUCUCUAGUUAGUAGGCGACUGAGAGAGCAGAGCUGGGCCUCGAAGACGGUAUUUCUCAUUCUACAACCAGCGCCAGGUCCCCAGGUGGAGGAGCCCAAGCAGCCCACCCACUCCAGGCAUACAAGGCUGGAUGGGGAAGGAGCCAAGCGCCACACUGGUGGGGGGGGCAUGAACACCCCUUGAGCCAUGAGGCCACCAUUCUCUGCGUUCCCCCCAGGCUGCCACUCCCCCACGCCGGCCUGCUCUGGGGCUCUGUUUCUGUGUUCUGGGGCCUCUCCCUAAGUGGUCAGGGGGAUGAGGGAGUGCACAGAAGGUGUUUCUGGCCCCAAGCCCACGGGACAGACAGACCCACAGCUGAGUUUCUUCUACGGUGAAGACCUUGACCCUCUUCAGCUUCCCUUGUGCUGCAAGACCUGGAUCCAAGGGCGCCCGGGUGGCUCAGUGAGUUGAGCAGCUGACACUUGGUUUCAGCCCAGGUC